rnacentral:rRNA from 1 species
CAGUCGCCGCGGGAACACGGAGGGCGCGAGCGUUACCCGGAUUUACUGGGCGUAAAGGGCGUGUAGGCGGCCUGGGGCGUCCCAUGUGAAAGGCCACGGCUCAACCGUGGAGGAGCGUGGGAUACGCUCAGGCUAGAGGGUGGGAGAGGGUGGUGGAAUUCCCGGAGUAGCGGUGAAAUGCGCAGAUACCGGGAGGAACGCCGAUGGCGAAGGCAGCCACCUGGUCCACUUCUGACGCUGAGGCGCGAAAGCGUGGGGAGCAAACCGGAUUAGAUACCCGCGUAGUCCCUGUCUCUUAUAC